UGCAUAGAAGAGAAGGCCCUGCAGUAAUAAUUACAAGGUUUUAAGCCCACAUCGCGUCUCAAUUGCGCCUCGACUGAGCCUCGCGCCGUGCCUCGCUUCAGUGUUGAAAAAGCCCUGUCCAGUGAGCCUCUGCGCUUUUGUGCCUCAGGCGCGCUUUUUACAACUAUGCUUGGAUGAGGUAGGGCAAAUCUAUGUAUCUCGUAAUGUUCGUUUUAAUGAAUUAUAUUCUUUUUUUCCAAAAUUUCGCAGAUAGAUCUAUGUCUAAGUGUGAUAUUGGUGUAGCUGAGUGGUAUGUGCCAUUUCUUGAAAUUGGCCGAUGUGUUUUUGGUGGUGGUCCAUUGAUAUGCGAAUCUGGCUCUACUCGAUCUAUUGGCUCUAUCUCGUUACCUCAUGGUGAUGAUUCAAUGAUGAUCAAGAAAUAUUAAAGUCGAGGGAAAGCUUAAGGAUGAAAUGUGAAUUUUUAAGGAAGGUUUACAAGCCAAGGACACAAGAUAAGGAAGAGGAAACGAAGUAAGGAGUUGAGCUUGGCAACAAUUAAUCAAGAAUAAUUACAGGGCGGUUGUUGAGGUUGAGUACAAAGCUCUCAUCGAUAAUGGAACUUGGGACUUAGGUGCCCUUGCCUGUUGAACAUAAAGUAAUUUGUUGUAAGUGGCUCUUUCGAAUCAAAUACAAUCCUGAUGGGACUGUCAAUUUGCACAGUGGUUGGCAGGUGCAUUAAGUUGAUGUCAAUAACGCGUUCCUUAAGGGUGAUCUACAAGAGGAUGUUUACAUGAGUCAACCCGAAGGGUUUGUGCAAACUAACUGUCAAGGUGGUCCUUUAGUUUGUAAUUUGAAAAAGGCUCUUUAUGGACUCUGGCAGGCUCCUAGAA